rnacentral:rRNA from 1 species
UAGGGAAUCUUCCACAAUGGACGCAAGUCUGAUGGAGCAACGCCGCGUGAGUGAAGAAGGUUUUCGGACCGUAAAGCUCUGUUGUUGGUGAAGAAGGAUAGAGGUAGUAACUGGCCUUUAUUUGACGGUAAUCAACCAGAAAGUCACGGCUAACUACGUGCCAGCAGCCGCGGUAAUACGUAGGUGGCAAGCGUUGUCCGGAUUUAUUGGGCGUAAAGCGAGCGCAGGCGGAAGAAUAAGUCUGAUGUGAAAGCCCUCGGCUUAACCGAGGAAUUGCAUCGGAAACUGUUUUCUUGAGUGCAGAAGAGGAGAGUAGAACUCCAUGUGUAGCGGUGGAAUGCGUAGAUAUAUGGAAGAAUACCAGUGGCGAAGGCGGCUCUCUGGUCUGCAAACUGACGCUGAGGCUCGAAAG